CCUACGGGAGGCAGCAGUGGGGAAUUUUGGACAAUGGGCGCAAGCCUGAUCCAGCAAUGCCGCGUGAGUGAAGAAGGCCUUCGGGUUGUAAAGCUCUUUUGUCAGGGAAGAAACGGUGCGGGCUAAUAUCCCGCACUAAUGACGGUACCUGAAGAAUAAGCACCGGCUAACUACGUGCCAGCAGCCGCGGUAAUACGUAGGGUGCAAGCGUUAAUCGGAAUUACUGGGCGUAAAGCGUGCGCAGGCGGUUUUGUAAGUCUGUCGUGAAAUCCCCGGGCUCAACCUGGGAAUUGCGAUGGAGACUGCAAGGCUAGAAUCUGGCAGGGGGGGGUAGAAUUCCACGUGUAGCAGUGAAAUGCGUAGAGAUGUGGAGGAACACCGAUGGCGAAGGCAGCCCCCUGGGUCAAGAUUGACGCUCAUGCACGAAAGCGUGGGGAGCAAACAGGAUUAGAUACCCUGGUAGUCCACGCCCUAAACGAUGUCUACUAGUUGUCGGGUUUUAAUUAACUUGGUAACGCAGCUAACGCGUGAAGUAGACCGCCUGGGGAGUACGGUCGCAAGAUUAAAACUUAAAUGAAUUGACGG
rnacentral:rRNA from 1 species